rnacentral:rRNA from 1 species
GGGUUGUGAGGUUAAGCGACUAAGCGUACACGGUGGAUGCCCUGGCAGUCAGAGGCGAUGAAGGACGUGCUAAUCUGCGAUAAGCGCCGGUAAGGUGAUAUGAACCGUUAUAACCGGCGAUUUCCGAAUGGGGAAACCCAGUGUGAUUCGUCACACUAUCAUUAACUGAAUCCAUAGGUUAAUGAGGCGAACCGGGGGAACUGAAACAUCUAAGUACCCCGAGGAAAAGAAAUCAACCGAGAUUCCCCCAGUAGCGGCGAGCGAACGGGGAGGAGCCCAGAGCCUGAAUCAGCAUGUGUGUUAGUGGAAGCGUCUGGAAAGGCGCGCGAUACAGGGUGACAGCCCCGUACACAAAAGCGCAUGUGCUGUGAGCUCGAUGAGUAGGGCGGGACACGUGGUAUCCUGUCUGAAUAUGGGGGGACCAUCCUCCAAGGCUAAAUACUCCUGACUGACCGAUAGUGAACCAGUACCGUGAGGGAAAGGCGAAAAGAACCCCGGCGAGGGGAGUGAAAAAGAACCUGAAACCGUGUACGUACAAGCAGUGGGAGCACAGGUUUACCUGUGUGACUGCGUACCUUUUGUAUAAUGGGUCAGCGACUUAUAUUCUGUAGCAAGGUUAACCGAAUAGGGGAGCCGGAGGGAAACCGAGUCUUAAUUGGGCGUUAAGUUGCAGGGUAUAGACCCGAAACCCGGUGAUCUAGCCAUGGGCAGGUUGAAGGUUGGGUAACACUAACUGGAGGACCGAACCGACUAAUGUUGAAAAAUUAGCGGAUGACCUGUGGCUGGGGGUGAAAGGCCAAUCAAACCGGGAGAUAGCUGGUUCUCCCCGAAAGCUAUUUAGGUAGCGCCUCGUGAAUUCAUCUCCGGGGGUAGAGCACUGUUUCGGCUAGGGGGCCAUCCCGGCUUACCAACCCGAUGCAAACUGCGAAUACCGGAGAAUGUUAUCACGGGAGACACACGGCGGGUGCUAACGUCCGUCGUGAAGAGGGAAACAACCCAGACCGCCAGCUAAGGUCCCAAAGUCAUGGUUAAGUGGGAAACGAUGUGGGAAGGCCCAGACAGCCAGGAUGUUGGCUUAGAAGCAGCCAUCAUUUAAAGAAAGCGUAAUAGCUCACUGGUCGAGUCGGCCUGCGCGGAAGAUGUAACGGGGCUAAACCAUGCACCGAAGCUGCGGCAGCGACACUCAGGUGUUGUUGGGUAGGGGAGCGUUCUGUAAGCCU